rnacentral:rRNA from 1 species
GGGUGCAAUCAUACCAACACUAAAGCACCGGAUCCCAUCAGAACUCCGAAGUUAAGCGUGUUUGGGCGAGAGUAGUACUAGGAUGGGAGACCCCCUGGGAAGUCCUCGUGUUGCACCCCUUU